UUUAGGGUGCUAUCUGAAGGCUUUCAAGACCAAAAUAAUCAACUUUCAUCUUCAAUUGACAACGGUACACUACAUCCAUAUCAACUCGAAGGAAACUCAUGUUAUACUUUCAGAUGAAAUGAAAUGGGACUCGGAAAAAACCAUAUAAAGUAUCCCUUUUCGAAAAGAAUGUUUCUCUGGUGGUUGCUCCACUUUCUAUACAUAACACAUGCAGAUGGUUGAUGAAGGUCGACAUUAAAGCAUUUCUCUGCAAAAGACAUCGCGUGCUUUUGAUAGGAACUCCCUCUUCAGGU